rnacentral:rRNA from 1 species
GAGUUUGAUCGUGGCUCAGAUUGAACGCUGGCGGCAUGCCUUACACAUGUAAGUCGAACGGUAACAGGUCUUCGGAUGCUGACGAGUGGCGAACGGGUGAGUAAUACAUCGGAACGUGCCCAGACGUGGGGGAUAACGAGGCGAAAGCUUUGCUAAUACCGCAUACGAUCUAAGGAUGAAAGCAGGGGACCGCAAGGCCUUGCGCGUUUGGAGCGGCCGAUGGCAGAUUAGGUAGUUGGUGGGAUAAAAGCUUACCAAGCCGACGAUCUGUAGCUGGUCUGAGAGGACGACCAGCCACACUGGGACUGAGACACGGCCCAGACUCCUACGGGAGGCAGCAGUGGGGAAUUUUGGACAAUGGGCGAAAGCCUGAUCCAGCAAUGCCGCGUGCAGGAUGAAGGCCUCGGUUGU